rnacentral:rRNA from 1 species
GAGUUUGAUCAUGGCUCAGAUUGAACGCUGGCGGCAGGCCUAACACAUGCAAGUCGAACGGUAACAGGAAACAGCUUGCUGUUUCGCUGACGAGUGGCGGACGGGUGAGUAAUGUCUGGGAAACUGCCUGAUGGAGGGGGAUAACUACUGGAAACGGUAGCUAAUACCGCAUAACGUCGCAAGACCAAAGAGGGGGACCCUCGGGCCUCUUGCCAUCGGAUGUGCCCAGAUGGGAUUAGCUUGUUGGUGGGGUAACGGCUCACCAAGGCGACGAUCCCUAGCUGGUCUGAGAGGAUGACCAGCCACACUGGAACUGAGACACGGUCCAGACUCCUACGGGAGGCAGCAGUGGGGAAUAUUGCACAAUGGGCGCAAGCCUGAUGCAGCCAUGCCGCGUGUAUGAAGAAGGCCUUCGGGUUGUAAAGUACUUUCAGCGGGGAGGAAGGGAGUAAAGUUAAUACCUUUGCUCAUUGACGUUACCCGCAGAAGAAGCACCGGCUAACUCCGUGCCAGCAGCCGCGGUAAUACGGAGGGUGCAAGCGUUAAUCGGAAUUACUGGGCGUAAAGCGCACGCAGGCGGUUUGUUAAGUCAGAUGUGAAAUCCCCGGGCUCAACCUGGGAACUGCAUCUGAUACUGGCAAGCUUGAGUCUCGUAGAGGGGGGUAGAAUUCCAGGUGUAGCGGUGAAAUGCGUAGAGAUCUGGAGGAAUACCGGUGGCGAAGGCGGCCCCCUGGACGAAGACUGACGCUCAGGUGCGAAAGCGUGGGGAGCAAACAGGAUUAGAUACCCUGGUAGUCCACGCCGUAAACGAUGUCGACUUGGAGGUUGUGCCCUUGAGGCGUGGCUUCCGGAGCUAACGCGUUAAGUCGACCGCCUGGGGAGUACGGCCGCAAGGUUAAAACUCAAAUGAAUUGACGGGGGCCCGCACAAGCGGUGGAGCAUGUGGUUUAAUUCGAUGCAACGCGAAGAACCUUACCUGGUCUUGACAUCCACGGAAGUUUUCAGAGAUGAGAAUGUGCCUUCGGGAACCGUGAGACAGGUGCUGCAUGGCUGUCGUCAGCUCGUGUUGUGAAAUGUUGGGUUAAGUCCCGCAACGAGCGCAACCCUUAUCCUUUGUUGCCAGCGGUCCGGCCGGGAACUCAAAGGAGACUGCCAGUGAUAAACUGGAGGAAGGUGGGGAUGACGUCAAGUCAUCAUGGCCCUUACGACCAGGGCUACACACGUGCUACAAUGGCGCAUACAAAGAGAAGCGACCUCGCGAGAGCAAGCGGACCUCAUAAAGUGCGUCGUAGUCCGGAUUGGAGUCUGCAACUCGACUCCAUGAAGUCGGAAUCGCUAGUAAUCGUGGAUCAGAAUGCCACGGUGAAUACGU